GUUUCUACCGUUGACAACACAGAAUGGACCACCAAAACCUCACCCCGUCGACCUAACCCGUACACCACCCGCCAAUGGUAACAUGUCUACCAGAGUGACCAAAGGUCAGUGCUGUGUUGCCAAGUCACCAGAGCAGUGUCAGGCCACACAAUGUUGUAAUGACAAAAUGAACCGAGAGUGCUGCAAGAAUCACAACAGGAACCCCAAUGAGCUGGGCAAGGAUGCAUUGAAUGCUGUGUCGGCACAGG
rnacentral:sRNA from 1 species